AAAUGAAGCAUUCUUGUAAAGCUUUUUGUUUUUAAUCAUUUAUGAGCUUCCUUUUCAAUUCAUGAAUGAGCAUAUAGAGCCACAGCUCCACCUUAGAUAGACUGGGUGCUAGGCUAGGUUUUUGUACUUUUCCAGCCCUGGACUACAUGAUAUCUGCCACUGCAAGCUACAGUCUGCUGUUCUGGUUCUUGGUGCCAGUUUCAUCAGAAACAAAUGGAACCAGAGGGGCACCGCUGGUCCUUCAGUGCCAUCACAACCUCAGCGAAAAGUUCAUUCCUGAGCAAACCUCCAUAUACUGGCAAAGUAAUUCCAGCGUUCUUCAUGUUUUUUCAAAAGGACAAGAGGAAUUUCAACACCAAAGUGAGUCAUUUAAAAACAGGACUGCAAUUUUCCGCGAUCAACUGGCCUCUGGCAACUUCUCCCUUGUCAUCAAUCCGCUGAUGCUGAAAGACGAUCAGCUCAGCAUCGAAGUUGCUUACAUACCAGAAAGCAGGACGCUCUGCCAAACCACUGUUCAUGUAGCAGCUCGUUUUGAGAUGCCAAAUAUCGUGGUCAACACCAUAGAUAUGAUGGCUAUGUGUGCAACAAAGGGGGGCUUUCCUGAA
ensembl:lncRNA